rnacentral:rRNA from 1 species
GAUGAACGCUAGCGGCAGGCCUAAUACAUGCAAGUCGAACGAGAUUAAGAGGCUUGCUUCUUAUGAAAGUGGCGCACGGGUGCGUAACGCGUAUGCAACCUACCUUAAUCAGGGGGAUAGCCCGAAGAAAUUCGGAUUAAGACCGCAUAAAAACACAGGAUAGCAUUAUCCAAUGUUCAAAUAUUUAUAGGAUUAAGAUGGGCAUGCGUGCCAUUAGCUAGUUGGCGGGGUAACGGCCCACCAAGGCGACGAUGACUAGGGGAUCUGAGAGGAUGACCCCCCACACUGGUACUGAGACACGGACCAGACUCCUACGGGAGGCAGCAGUAAGGAAUAUUGGUCAAUGGAGGGAACUCUGAACCAGCCAUGCCGCGUGCAGGAAGACAGCCCUCUGGGUCGUAAACUGCUUUUAUUCGGGAAUAAACCUUUCUACGUGUAGGAAGCUGAAUGUACCGAAGGAAUAAGGAUCGGCUAACUCCGUG